rnacentral:lncRNA from 1 species
CCUGAUCCAACCGCCCGGUGUUGUCUUUUUUUUUCCAAUAAUUGUUUUGCUCAAUCUGAGUUUCAUCUUCUUUUUAAUAUAAUCGUAUAAUCGACAGCUCUCCAGCCUGGUUCCUUAAAAAAAAAGUGUUGUAAUCCGCUAAUCCGGAGCUUUAUUGUGCUGUUCAACACUGGAAUGGAGCAUCAGAGGUUCAGAGCACGGCACGUCUACAGGCAGGAAUGGACAAGCCGGUGCAAUCCAAACAUUCCAACUAGGCGGUCACCAAUUACUGCUACUGCGUACCAUACAUCGAGCGCUGCAGGCUAGUCCGGCCUGGACAGCGGCGGCUACUCGAAGUUGUAGUGCUUGUCGACGGCCUCGGCGACGUCCCAGGUGCAGCUCAUGCCCUUGGGGAAGACGACCAGGUCCCCCGCGGCGAUCUCCACGAACUCCUCCCCGUGGCCCUCCGGGUACACCUUCACCUUCCCCUGCAGCAGGUAGCACGUCUCCUUGGCCGAGUAGGUCCACGGGAACUUGCUCUUCUCGCACCCCCACCUGAUCGAUUCGUGCAUUCACCAGCAGGUCGCCGUCAGCAAGGGGAACGAGCCCAGUGGAGGCGGGGGGGACGGCGGGGAGAUCGGAGAUUGGGAUGCCCGGGAGGGCGGGUAGCUUACUUGGGCCACUGGCGGACGCCGAG